rnacentral:rRNA from 1 species
UAACGCGAAGAACCUUACCUACCCUUGACAUGGAUGGAAUCCUUGAGAGAUUGAGGAGUGCCCGAAAGGGAACCAUUACACAGGUGCUGCAUGGCUGUCGUCAGCUCGUGUCGUGAGAUGUUGGGUUAAGUCCCGCAACGAGCGCAACCCUUAUUAUCAGUUGCCAGCAUUAAGUUGGGCACUCUGGUGAGACUGCCGGUGACAAACCGGAGGAAGGUGGGGAUGACGUCAAAUCAUCAUGCCCCUUAUGACCUGGGCUACACACGUGCUACAAUGGAUGGUACAACGAGUUGCGAACUCGCGAGAGUAAGCUAAUCUCUUAAAGCCAUUCUCAGUUCGGAUUGUAGGCUGCAACUCGCCUACAUGAAGUCGGAAUCGCUAGUAAUCGCGGAUCAGC